GACGAACGCUGGCGGCGUGCUUAACACAUGCAAGUCGAGCGAGGCCCCUCCUUCGGGAGGGUGUCCUAGCGGCGAACGGGUGAGUAACACGUGGGCAACCUGCCCUCCGCUCUGGGAUAACUCCGGGAAACCGGGGCUAAUACCGGACACGACCUCCACGGCCAUCUGCGGAGGUGGAAAGUUUUUCGGCUGAGGAUGGGCCCGCGGCCUAUCAGCUAGGUGGUGGGGUAGUGGCCCACCAAGGCGACGACGGGUAGCCGGCCUGAGAGGGCGACCGGCCACACUGGGACUGAGACACGGCCCAGACUCCUACGGUAGGCAGCAGUGGGGAAUAUUGCGCAAUGGGCGAAAGCCUGACGCAGCGACGCCGCGUGAGGGACGAAGGCCUUCGGGUUGUAAACCUCUGUCAGCAGGGACGAAGCGAAAGUGACGGUACCUGCAGAAGAAGCACCGGCCAACUACGUG
rnacentral:rRNA from 1 species